rnacentral:lncRNA from 1 species
AAUGUGUUUGUCCAUUCUUCCUCUACGAAUUAAUGCCGGAUCAAGCUUCUCCAAGUGAUUUGUUGUGAAAACGAUCAGUCUCUCUCCGCCACAAGCUGACCAAAUUCCGUCGAUGAAAUUCAACAAUCCAGACAGAGUUACUUUGCUUUUCACUUCUUCUUCUUCUUUCUUCGGUUCCUUAAUUGCUUUCUUCUUCUCUUUCUCCUCAUUUGAGCUUUUUUUUUCCACGAUUUUCCUUUGCUUAGUGAAUUCUAAUGAACAAUCGAUAUCUUCAAUCACGAUUAUCGAUUUGCUCGUCGUCUCAAUUAGAAGCUUCCGAAGCUCUGUAUUGUCCUUCACUGCUGUUAAUUCCAAAUCGUAAACGUCGUAGUUUAGCAAAUUCGCCAUGGCGGCGAUCAUCGUUGAUUUCCCCGUCCCCGGCGGGCCGUACAGAAGGUAACCUCGUUUCCACGCCUUGCCGAUUCGAGCGUAAUACUCUUUACUUUGGCUAAAUGUUAGUAAAUCUUCUAUAAUCUCUUGCUUUUUGAUUGGAUCCAUUCCGAUUGUGUCAAAACUUGCAGGAUGUUCGAAGUAAACUUCGCUCCACGUCGUUGACCGGUGAAUUAGCCAUCGGUUUCCUGUUCCGUUAGUGUAAAGCUUCCUCCGCCUCCGAUUCACUCUGAUUUCUUUUCCUUCCUUCAAUACAUGCUUCAGAUACGAUUCUUUUACA